rnacentral:lncRNA from 1 species
CUUCUGAGGAGAGCUGCUUGCAGCUAUCAUACUCUGCUUGUAUUAAGGGGUGGGGAUGGGGCGGAGGGUCCAAUGAAUGGAUUGCAUAAAGACAGUAGCCUCCUGGUUUAUUGUAAUUAUAUUUUUCUAUAAUAGGCUCAAAGCAAACAAAGAAUAACACUCAGUCUGGAUACAUAAGGGAUAAGGUCAGACUGAGAUAGAAGCAUUCUAAAGCUAUUAAAAGUCAAUAAAAGGUCCAGGUUUAACCACGCUUGGAAGGAAAGAGCAGAAAUCACUUUCUUUAGACGUGUUCACACCAAAAGGUCCGUUUUCUGACACGAACCAACGCAAGGAUGAUACAUUGAUGAUUAAUUGUUGCAAUUUCUCAACUGGUUCUGUUCGCGUUCACAAAGGCCAAACUCAAACGGUCCAAAAAUUGUCACAUGACAGCAAAAGCCUUUCAGUGAUUGUUUACACAGUUUAGGCGGGUAAAUGACAAAUAGAGCAGAGCAUGGUCUGCUCAUUUUUAUGUUGGUGCUGAUCUGGACUGCAUAUCGGCAGACUUUAACGGAUUGCACAUAUGAAAGGCUGGGAAGACUGCAGCAAUUGAAUAAUGUAUUAAUACACAUAUGUCACAGGAGACUCUCUGCAAUCAGACAAUCAUAUCGCAGAGGACGACAGGCAAUAAUUCGUAACUCCACGUUUGUCCCCUGCUAGACAUUAGCCGCACUUCGCUGACUUUGCGUCUGACCAAAACAGGAUAUGACGUGUAAAAUGGUGCGCUUCCUGUGAUUGGUACGGAUGGGGUUCACACCAGAAGUAAACCGCUCUAGAGUUCACUUGAUAGUGGUCCAAGACCACCCCUACCAGGCGGACCCAAGAGCAGUUGACUGGUCUGCACCAGAGUUCGAGGCCAGCGUUCACACCAACCAAAACGAACCGCACCAAGGAGGAAAACACUCCAGGGUUCAGUUCAAGUGGACUAAACAAGGCUGAUCUGAACAUGAUGUUAGACGUUACAGUGUAAAAGAGUAUACUCUGAAAAAUCGAAAGGAAACCCUGAAUAAAGACAAGGAAAACAGAGUGUAAGGGAGAUAAUUCAGCUGCAUAUCAUAUUUAGCACAGUAUUUCAUCAGGGAUAUCAUUAUCAUUACUAUUUUUUCCACAUAUGCUCAGUGUCUUUGACGGUCAGGAUACAGUGUUAAUGACAUAAUACAAUUUUCCACUUUAAAGUCAUGCAGAAUUUUUAUCAGCUUUUUCCUGAGCGGCAGGUGAUGAUGAUCUCUGCUGAAAACUGAAAUAACCAUCUGUUUUUUUCCCUCUCUGGUUUGUAAUAUCACUGAGAAAAAUUAUGAAAUCAACUUUUCAUCGUUGGCCUUGAAAUUGGCAGACAUCCUCCCUGCCCUGCGGUAUUUUUGUCUCUUUGUCUUGGAGUGUUUUUCUCUGAGAUGUGUGCACUCUCAAGUUGCCCCUCUUAGAAACCCAACAGCCUGUCCUGAGUGAUCCUGUUGAAUUCAGCUGAGGACAAGGAAUAACAAGACAUCCUUUCAUAUUAGCAGAAAAGACCCUUACAUUCAUGCAGUUGGAAGUUAGAGUGCAUUUGAUUCCUAAAAGUGUGGCACAUUAAAAAUAAAACACUGUGCAAAAGCAAAGUAGAUCAUCAGUGGCAGUAUAAUGUCUUAGUGUCUUAAUGUGUGAACGUCCAGAGCUUUAGAUAAUCAAUAAUGCAUGUAACUGCUACUGCCAUGAAGGCGGCAUGUUAAGGUGAAUUCCAGCUUGCUACAGAGUUGGCCAUCUUUUAUAGUGAAGAUACACAGUGACUUACAUAGUUGGCUGUAAAAAGGCAGCAACCAUGCAGCUUUUUUGUUUUGCAUAAUCAUGCAUAGCUAAUUAGGAGCAUAGCUAACUUGGCUUACAAGUUGGCACAUUGCCACCUAUUUGCCUCCUCUUAGUUUGACUGGAGCUUAAGCAGGGCACACAUGACAAGAUAAUUGUGCCAAUUUUGUGCCCCUCUGACAAAAAUCAGCAAUGGCCGGUUCUUAAAAUGUUCUUCCAAGAUUAUCCUGAGGUGUGAUUUGGGUUCAGAGUGUUUUUCUCCCCACUGAUAUGCGCAGCAGUUGAUUCGAGCCGCCCUUCUUGAAACUAUUGAUAUUUAUCAUGUUGAUUAUGGCCCUGGCCUUUUUCCAGUGAAUUCCUCUUGCUCCCCAGGGUUUUCCCCUUCCUCCUGUGUCUGUUUGUUCUCCCCAGCCCGCCUGUGUCUGUGCGAUAGCAGGCGUGGCCCAUCAUCCCCUGUACUGCCCACCUACUCCUGGUUCAAGCUCCACCUCCAGCUCCACAUAGUUCCUUAGCUGCCUCUCAUCUACAAUCAAGCGCAGUCUACAGGAACCCCUGGCUGCCAGAUUAUCUGCUGACCAAUGCGGUAUUUAGCUGGCUAAGAAUCCUUUUAGGGGUUUUUAUCAAUUUGGAAAGAUUUUUUGAGACAUUUGGAUAAUCAUUUUUCAAAUCAAUCAAUCAAUCAAAUUUUAUUUAUAUAGCGCCAAUUCACAACAGUCGUCAUCCCAAGACGCUUUUCAAAGAACAAGAGCAGGUCUAGACCACGCUCAUUGUUUGAUGAAUUAUCAAGAACCAACCUAAGAUGGGUUUUGGCCCAUCUCAACUAACAUGAGUGACAGUGGCAAGGAAAAACUUCCUUUUAACAGGCAGAAACCUUGAGCAGGACCCGACUCAUGCCAGACAGCCACCGUGCCGCUGCUGGGUUGGGGAGGAAUGUAGCGAGAGAGAGAGAGAGAGAGAGAGAGAGAGAGAACAAGGUAAGGGGAAGGAAAGAGAGAAUGAGUAAGGGGGAGGGAGAGAGAGUAGAGAACGAGGGUGAGAGAGAGACAGGGGACAACAGCAACAACAACAACAGCUCAUGUAAUGGUGAAACGAAAUUAAUUCAGUUUACAGGGUUAGGAUAUGAGUAAUUAUGGACUAUGUUAAAUUAAUUUAAUGUGAUUACAGUCAGCAGGCUUAAUCGUAGUUAACUCUAGUUUUAUGUUAUUAAUGUCAGUGAGGCUGAUGUUCAGUAACAGUCCAGAGGAACCCAAGAGAAGAAGGAGCUCAGGGCCUGAGGCAGACAAUCUUAGACAAUGUGGCUGGAGUCAGGCAGAUCUGCAGCAGCCAUCGGUCCAGAGCAACCUAGGAGACUGGGGCUCAGAGACAUACAGAGAGAUCUGGUUAGCAAUUUGAUGGGAGAAAAUGACUUCAAUGUACAGGAUAAUGAAGUAACUAAUUAUGGACUAUGCUAAAUUAAUUUAAGGUGAUUAAAGUUAAAACUCAAGUUUUAUUUUAAAUAUGUCAGUUAGGCUUACGUACGUGUCUGCAGCAGCGGAGAUGGAGAUGGAGGAGCUCAGGGCCUGAGGUGGACAAUCAAGGACGAUGCAGCUGGGGUCAGGCAGUUCCGCAGCAGACCGUCUGCAGCAUUAGUCCAGUGGAAGCUAAGAGACUCAGAGACACUCAGAGAGACAGAAAUCUGGUUAGUGACUUAUAUGGGACAUAAAGAUCUAAAGAGGAGAUAGAGACAGACUCUAGCUCAGUGUGCCAGAUAGCCCCGGCAGUCUAGACC